GGGGCUAUAGCGCAGUUGGUAGCGCACCUGCAUGGCAUGCAGGGGGUCAGGAGUUCGAGUCUCCUUAGCUCCA
rnacentral:tRNA from 1 species